rnacentral:lncRNA from 1 species
AGGACAACUUUAUAUUUGCAGAAUCUAUGAGGGAACCAGCAACUUCUAAAAUUUUCCUGAAGGUGAGAAGUAUGGGGGAGAGAGACAGAUCACGACAGUGAAGAAAAUAAAUGACAAUCACUGCAGAAAUGUCAGUCCUGGAAAACUUCUCUCCCCGUCUGGCAGCACAGGAGUCUGCUGGACGUUUCUGGACCCAGCACGGCAAUAUGGAAUGACUGCUGAAAGAGCGAUUUCAAAAGCACAGCUUUGCAGAAGAGUCCCUCUCACUUCUGUUGCACCUGCAUAACCAGCCUGAAGAUUAGAAGCAAAUCUUGUUCUCUGUGGCUUCUCAUCACUUGACAAGAAUGUCGGAUCCUCACUGACUUAAAUCCAAGAGCGCUCCAGGGCAGGGCGCUCCUUCCCCUGGGCAGCUCUCAAGGUCUUAGACGCUGCUUGAUGAAUUGGUAGAACAUUUUUGCAACUUUUGCAAUCUGGUAUUGAUUUACUAUCUUCAUCUCAAAGUCUGCCAAAUUAUUAUUUUAUUGGGGAGGAAAAUAGGGAUACCACAAAGUGACACAUAUUCCUGAGAAACCUUGGCAGGCGGCCCCUUUCCAACCAGGAGACUGCAGUGGCCUCCAUCUGUCUCUCCCAGAGGGACAACAUGUACCAGGGGUUCCUUGCAGGGAUAUUUCAAGAUAAAAGAAAUGAUUGUUCUUUCUUUAUGUUCAUUGAAAAAAAAAAUCUGAUAUUCAGUUUCCCUAGUGUCCUAGGUCCGAGGAUCUGUGGGGUUUUCCUGCCACCUAUUCUGCAAUGGUGAAUGACAAGCGUUCAUCUUGACAUACUGUGUCAUAACUAUCUGGUUGGUUUGGUGACUCGUGGCAACAAGCCAGGAUUCUGAGCAUAAGGUUGCGAUAAGUAAACAGCAAGCCUCCGUGUCUGCGGCUUUCAAAGAACGAGGAGAACUGAAGCUCCAAGUUACAAGUGGAAAUCUGGAUAUGCAGAUAAUAGAACAAUUUGCUCUGGGAAUAAAGAAGGAUGAUUUCCCUGCAGUUGGAGACGGACAGCGUCAGCAAAGAGUGCUGGAGUCCCAGAAACGGCUGGGAACUGGGAUGGCUUGUCUUGGGGAAGCUUCUCUCACUGCCCUCCUGCAGCCCAGCAUCCUGAGGACCCUGCUUGCCGUCCCAGGGAGGCUGUUUCUCAGAGCAUGGGAAAAGGAUUUCCUCGCUCAGGAGGGGAGCUUCUUCCCCAGACAGCUUCUGUCUGAGUCUGCCCCUGGCUGUGAAUGUCAGCAGAGCAGUGGGACCAGGCCACCUUGACCUGCACGCCAGCAUCACUGUCUCCAGAAGAACCGCCCUGCAUGUGCAUAUCAGCUUAUGCUAUGGCCCUGGGGAAAGAGAGAGGAGAAGAAAAACCCUGUGGUUGACGGGUCCUGAGGCUGAUGGUGGAGGUAGACCUGAGACGCCUCAUUUGCAUGUUCUCUACUUAGAAAAGGCUUGGAAGGACAUUGAAGUACACGGUUAUUUGUCAUCACAGAAUAGAGGUUGGCAAACCAUGACCUGUGGGCCAAAUCUGGCCUGCAGCCUACUUUGGUAAGACUUGUGUAAGAAUGUUUCUCACAUUUGUAAAGAGUUGUUAAUAAUAAUAAUAAACCCAAUCAAAGAAAGAAUAGAUGGCA